UAAUCCUAUGGUAUGCAACACAGUUUUGAAGAUGGUCACAAGAGGAGUUGUGAUAUUUUAGCUGUAAGGGAUCUUUGUUAUUUAGAAUUGCUAUGAUGAUUAUGUAACAUACAGAAGCAGAUUCUGUUGGUAUUGUGGAAGUGAAUAAGCCGGGUUUGGAAACUUGAAUGCAAAGUUCCUAAUCCUUUGUUGAGGCAUAUCAACAGGGUCGAUGGUGUGCAUAAGGAAGGCAACGGUGGAUGACCUGCUGGCUAUGCAGGCUUGAGAUACUCCUGGUUUCUUUAUGAGACGUUUAUGUGUUUGGUGCUGAGUAUGUCUCCCUGCAUGUUAGAAAGAGCAAUCGUGCUACAUUUAAUUUGUACACGGAGACACUGGGUUACAAGAUUCAUGAUGUGGAGGCGAAGUAUUAUGUAGAUGGGGAGAAUGCUUAUGACAUGAGGAAGCAGCUCAAGGGGAAGCAGACGCAUCAGCAUCCUCAUAGUGGGGGUCAUCACCACCACCAGUACAAUCAUCAUCGUGAGCAUGGUGGUGGUUGUUGUUCUAGUGAAGCAAAGGCAGAGAAGACAGAGACGAGAAAUGCGAAGCGCACCUGAUUGUAAGAGCAAUUUUCCUCCAUUCUGUUUCUCUGUAAAUGAAAAUUUUUUCUUUUUUGUUAUGUAAGAAACUGGGUAUUGGCUUAGGCACUCUGAGAGGAUAAAAGACUCUAGAUGUUGAUACUGUGUCUGUCUCAUUGGUGGAUUAGAAAUUGUUGGUGAUAGAAGAGGUACGUUUGUAUUGGUCGAA